rnacentral:rRNA from 1 species
GAUGAACGCUGGCGGCGUGCUUAACACAUGCAAGUCGAACGGUGAAGGCGGAGCUUGCUCUGCUGGAUCAGUGGCGAACGGGUGAGUAACACGUGAGCAAUCUGCCCCUGACUCUGGGAUAAGCGCUGGAAACGGCGUCUAAUACUGGAUACGAGCUGCGAAGGCAUCUUCAGCAGCUGGAAAGAAUUUCGGUCAGGGAUGAGCUCGCGGCCUAUCAGCUUGUUGGUGAGGUAAUGGCUCACCAAGGCGUCGACGGGUAGCCGGCCUGAGGGGGUGACCGGCCACACUGGGACUGAGACACGGCCCAGACUCCUACGGGAGGCAGCAGUGGGGAAGAUUGCACAAUGGGCGAAAGCCUGAUGCAGCAACGCCGCGUGAGGGACGACGGCCUUCGGGUUGUAAACCUCUUUUAGCAGGGAAGAAGCGAAAGUGACGGUACCUGCAGAAAGAGCGCCGGCUAACUACGUG